rnacentral:rRNA from 1 species
UACGUAGGGUGCAAGCGUUGUCCGGAAUUAUUGGGCGUAAAGAGCUCGUAGGCGGUCUGUCGCGUCUGCUGUGAAAACUCAGGGCUUAACCCUGAGCUUGCAGUGGGUACGGGCAGACUAGAGUGCGGUAGGGGAGACUGGAAUUCCUGGUGUAGCGGUGAAAUGCGCAGAUAUCAGGAGGAACACCGGUGGCGAAGGCGGGGUCUCUGGGCCGUAACUGACGCUGGAGGAGC